AAUGAAAUAUUGACACAUCGCUGGAACAAGUUAGAAUCCUACUCGAGGAAGAGUUAAGAGUUAAGAGAGCUUGAGAAGCUAAACGAACUAAGGAGGAUGGGGGGGGUCAGUUUCAGUUACUGGAACGAUUAUGUGCCUCUGUAACCCUUUACACCACCACCCACGGGAUGGGGUGCAUAAUAAAGAAAGAAAUUGAAAAUUGAAGAGGGUCGCGUGGGGAAGUUGGCAGCCCUGGCGCCGCUCCGGGGAGGAGGUUGUUUACUGCUGAUGCGAGCACGUUGACCCACCACGACCCCACACCACCUGUUUUACCCCUCCUACUCACCCUACCCUCCACAUACUGACACGAGAAUAGCGAGAGGAGGUGAUGCAGUGGAAACAGCCAUGCUGUGUCUUCACAGCAGCCAGUGAAGUGUGUUCGCAAACCCCGUCAUGGAUUGUGUUUGGCUCUCUGUGAACGAUAUGAAGCCUACAUCUAGAUCUAGAUCAGCCGUUCUUCGGUCCUCUCGAAAUUCCCCCCAGAAGAAUCAAACUUGUAUGUUGCAAAGUUGUGAUGGGGUCAAGGAAGCUCCUAGGAAAAGUCA